CGAAAUGCGAUAAGUAAUGCGAAUUGCAGAAUUCCAGUGAGUCAUCGAAUCUUUGAACGCACAUUGCG
rnacentral:rRNA from 1 species